rnacentral:piRNA from 2 species
AGAUCAGGCUGGCCUAGAACUCUC